AUACGUAGGGGGCGAGCGUUGUCCGGAAUGAUUGGGCGUAAAGGGCGCGUAGGCGGCCCGGUAAGUCUGGAGUGAAGGUCCUGUUUUUAAGAUGGGAAUUGCUUUGGAUACUGUCGGGCUUGAGUGCAGGAGAGGUAAGUGGAAUUCCCAGUGUAGCGGUGAAAUGCGUAGAGAUUGGGAGGAACACCAGUGGCGAAGGCGACUUACUGGACUGUAACUGACGCUGAGGCGCGAAAGUGUGGGGAGCAAACAGGAUUAGAUACCCUGGUAGUCCACACUGUAAACGAUGAAUGCUAGGUGUAGGGGGUAUCGACCCCUUCUGUGCCGCAGUCAACACAAUAAGCAUUCCGCCUGGGGAGUACGGCCGCAAGGUUGAAACUCAAAGGAAUUGGCGGGG
rnacentral:rRNA from 1 species